AUAAACAGCUCUACGGGCACUACCAGCCCGGGCAGGCGGCCCAAGUUCCCACAAGGUUCGGCCUGGGAAAACGGCGGGGCGCUCGCAGGGGCGCGAGGUCAAGUCGGGGCGGGAAGGCACCCGGAGAGUCCGGGGGCGGGAGGGGUGUGUCGGGGCCUGGAGGCCCGCCAGGCGCUGGAGGAGCUGCCGAGGAAGCUGCCGCGGCGCCCGCCUUCGCUCGGCCUCGGGCCCCGCGCCAGGGCCCGCCUCCCGCGACGCCUCACUCCCCUUCCGCCCGCCCGCCCGGCCCGUGCCUGCCCGGGGUUGCCGCGUCUCUCGCUCGCCGCCUGCCUCGGGCCCUCCUCCUCUGGGACUCCGCGCUCCCGGGAUCCCCUCCCGCUCUUUUCCUCCCCGAGUCCCGCCGCCCGCCUCGCCAACCUCCGCCUUUACCUGCCGCGGGAGCGGGGCGUCGAAGCCCCCGGGCCGUGUCGUCGAGUAAGCGCCGCGGGUCCGCAACCCUUUCCCGCCGCCGCCAGCCACUACGCUCUCCGGCGCGGCGCUGCGCGGCGCGGGGCUGGCGAGCAGCUGUGUCCGCGGGGCGGGGGUGGGGGAGAUGCAGCGAGCGUGCGGAGCGAGGACACACUGCCGCUCUCCGUCCGACCGGGGAAGAGCAGCCGCGCAGGAGCCCGCCGCGAGAGGGCGGGUGGGCGGCCGCGUGGGGAGGGGUCUCGCGGCCGCCGCAAUGGCUGCCACGUAGCCAGGUGGAUCUCCGCCCCCGCCCCGGGGCCGCGACCUCUGCUGCUCCGCACACCCCCCACCCACCCACCCCGGGCUCUCCAGGAUGCGUCGGCCCGCGCCCGCCACGGCGCCGGCCCGGAGACCCGAGCCCACCGGUGCUGGCGCCUCGCUGGCUCCGUUACGAGAAGUGAGUCCCGGGCCUGGCGGGAGGCGCAGCCCGGGACCCGCGGGGCCCCCCCGAGGCUCUCCCGGAAGCUUGCGGCCCGCCGCUGUCCCCCGAGGGCUCCGGGGAAAGGCAGGCGCGGGGACCCCCCCUACUGCUGCCCGUGUAAGCGCCCCGGUGAGCCGCGGCCGGGUCUAACCCUCACCUCUCUCCCGAGCCCGAAAAGCAAAACAAGGUCGUUCUGGCCCCGGGCAGCGAGGGAGGAACUAGGAGCUGGGGCGGGCGGGACUGCAGCUGCGAGGUCGGCGGGGCGAGGCGAUGGGCCCCGCGCUCUCCCCCACGGGGGCCCGCUCACUCGGGGCGGACGGGCGGCGGCGCCCCGCGGGAACAAAGGGCCCCGCCGCCCCAGCAACCGGGACGGAGGCUGCCGGGAUCCAGCCCGCGCCGCCAACGUGCGGUCGGAACCCGCUGGCCUGAGCCCAAAAGAGCUGCGGCCUUUGCCAGUGUGGAGCUGGAGUUUUCAGGAAUCUGGGAAGAGGUAGGAAAACACAGCAUGUGCACCGCUUCAGCUCAACGCCCAGGAAAGAUAGCAGCAGCAAAGAAUCAGCUCAUUGUGUGGAAUCCUAGCACUUGAGAGGCAGAGGCAAGAGGAUCAAGAGUUCAGGGCUAGCCUACACAUCAAAUUUGAGACCAGCAAGCUAUUAAGAGUAUGUCUCAGAAAGGAAAGAAAAAAAACAGCACUUCUUGGAAAUUCUAUCCCCAUUACUGAGAUUUUUCAUAAUUUGCUCACUCUAGCCUUGCUAUCCUGCUCCUGCUAACCAGACAAUAGUCUAUGACUAAGCCUUCCUUAAAGCUUUCCCUACAAGACAAGAGUGUCUCGAGAUGGUGGUAAAAUAAGCAACCUGCGUUGUAUUCUUAUUAUAGCAAAUUAACAGUCUAGUUUACACAUUACUCUAUGAGACAAUAUUAGGAAAACCUAGGGAUUCAUGGAGCAAAAAUUUUAACUGAUAUUUUUUCUACAUUACUGAGUCAG
ensembl:lncRNA